CAACUUUCAGCAGUGGAUG
rnacentral:rRNA from 1 species